ensembl:lncRNA
CUCCCUUUUAACAGGAAAAAACAUCCGGCAGAACCAGGCUCAGGGAGGGGCGGGGCCAUCUGCUGUGAUUGGUUGGGGUGAGAGAAGGAAGACAGGAUAAAGACAUGCUGUGGAAAAGAGACAGAUUAAUAACAGGUGAGAACAGAGAGGGCAGCAUCAUCAGCUCACUGGAAGGUUCAGAAGGUGGUCAGCUGGUAAGGAGCGACGGCCCAGCCCUGUUGUUGACGAUGAAGGUCAUCUGUUUAAGGAGUGAGCUGUUGAUCAGUCUUCACGGAUCAGUGGGCAGCCCGGUCACUUCCUGGAUCGAUUACAGCAACUCUCUUCUUUUUGGUCGUAGUCAAAAAUCUGUCCAUCAUUAUAUUCCUCUAAUAUGUUUGAUGGUUGUGUUGAUCUGUGUGGGACUGGGGGGAGGGGGCGUUGUGGGUUUUUUUCAUAUAUAUGUGUGU